UGGGUUGUGGCUCAGUGGGAGAGCACUUGCCUAGCAGGCAUAAGGCACUGGGUUCGAUCCCGGGCACCACAU
rfam:Ictidomys tridecemlineatus contig003560, whole genome shotgun sequence.